AGCAGUCGCCACGGGAAUACGUAGGGUGCAAGCGUUAAUCGGAAUUACUGGGCGUAAAGCGUGCGCAGGCGGUUAUAUAAGACAGAUGUGAAAUCCCCGGGCUCAACCUGGGAACUGCAUUUGUGACUGUAUAGCUAGAGUACGGCAGAGGGGGAUGGAAUUCCGCGUGUAGCAGUGAAAUGCGUAGAUAUGCGGAGGAACACCGAUGGCGAAGGCAAUCCCCUGGGCCUGUACUGACGCUCAUGCACGAAAGCGUGGGGAGCAAACAGGAUUAGAUACCCCCGUAGUCCCUGUCUCUUAUAC
rnacentral:rRNA from 1 species